AUAUUAAUAGACCGCGGUCUAUUGUGCUAUGACGCCGUAUGAUAUAGACAGUCCGGGCAUCAGUAUCACUGUCAGAGUGAAUCUUGAUCAGUGAGCUACUACUGCGAAAGCAUUUGCUAGAUGCUUUCCAUAUCAGACCGAAAGCUAGGGAUCGAAGACGAUCAGAUACGUCGUAGUCUUAACCAUAACCUAUGCCGACCUAGGAUCGGACGGUGUUAUUCAUGACCCGUUCGGCCCUUACGAGAAAUCAAAGUGCUUGGGCUCCAGGGGGAGUAUGGUCGCAAGGCUGAAACUUAAAGAAAUUGACGGAAAGGGCACACCAGGGGUGGGAGACUGCGGCUUAAUUUGACUCAACACGGGGAAACUCACCAGGUCCAGACACAAUAAGGAUUGACAGAUUGAGAGCUCUUUCUUGAUUUUGUGGGUGGUGGUGCAUGGCCGUUCUUAGUUGGUGGGGUGACUUGUCUGCUUAAUUGCGAUAACGAACGAGACCUUAACCUGCUAAAUAGCCCGCAUUGCUCCGGCAGUGCGCUGGCUUCUUAGAGGGACUUUCGGCUCAAGCCGAAGGAAGUUUGAGGCAAUAACAGGUCUGUGAUGCCCUUAGAUGUUCUGGGGCCGCACGCGCGCUACACUGACGGGGUCAGCGAGUUCCUUGGCCGAAAGGCCCGGGUAAUCUUGUUAGCCCCCGUCGUGCUGGGGAUAGAGCAUUGCAAUUAUUGCUCUUCAACGAGGAAUCCCUAGUAAGCGCAAGUCAUCAGCUUGCGUUGAUUACGUCCACUGCCCUUUGCACACACCGCCCGUC
rnacentral:rRNA from 1 species